GAAUCUAGAUGAGGUCAUACUGGAUUGGAGUGGGUCCUAAAUCCAGUGACUAGUUUACUCAUAAGCAGAGGAGAGGAAACAGAGAGACAUACAGAACUCCAAAAUUGUUUCCAGUCUCACUGACUGAGGAAAUUUUCAGGACUCAAUCCCAUGUACAAAUGUUGAACAUUACAUCAUCAGUUAUACUAUAUCCAUUGUACUUGUGACUGCUAUAAAAACAUAUUUUUUUCAAUAACUAUUUAUUGCAUGUCUGCAAUGUGCCAAGUGCUCUUGUAGAUACUAGGAAAAAUGAAGUAGACAAAACAUUGUCUUUGUCCUCGUGGAACUUACAUCUCAGUAUUAUAAGUGUGCAAACCCUCUCUUCCUACUAGGAGAAAAUAUUAUUUUUAAUCAUUUCUUCACAGUGAGUUUCUUAAACUUAUUUCAUCAGAGACUAUUGAAAAGUACACACUCUUCCAUCCCCCUAGAAUGAGAAUCCUGGGGGAGGGAUUGGGAAGUCUAUCUUUUUAAGAAACUCACUGGAUGUUUCAAGUGCAUUC
rnacentral:lncRNA from 1 species